rnacentral:lncRNA from 1 species
CUACGAGCGGACAAUAUUCCCCAAUAUUCAGCAAUAACCCUUUUAUUGUAUAGCAAUAUAAUAUUUGAAAGUAAACAUUGGUUUAAACUAAGAUUUUAUGGUGAAGACGUCGUGAAUUUUGAAAGAUUUAUUGCACUAGUGCAAUAUUGGAAUUAAUGGCACGCUCACUCUUUGAUUACGUUCUGUGGGAAAUAUUAUAUUGCUAUGCAAUACUAUUAGUAAUAAUGAUGAUAACUGUAUUUGAGGAAGGUGACUCAAUAAGCAUUUACUUAUCUACAUUGAGGCCUUCCCAAUAUAUAACUGCAAUGUAUUUAUACAUUUAAGACUUUCUUUUCCUACUUUUUGAGUUCUGAGGGUAUUAGCUCUAUGUAGCUGUGCUUUUAAUGCAACGUUAAGUUUUAUUUAAAUAGAAGAACUCGUUGAUAGUUACUAUCAAUUACAAUGUUUAUCCAACACAGAAUCCAUGUUAUACAUUUUAUUUGCCUUUUGUUACGUUUUAAGAUAAGAGCUAAAAAAUACUUUUAGGUGUGUUGGCUCUUCGGUUAUACGUUGAUUCAUUUAUUUCCUACUUUCGCUGAUCCUUUUUUUCGAAGUGAUACGGAACUUCUGAUGUCAAGUCAUUCUUCGUUAUUGUAAACAAAACGCUUAUGACCAAUAUGUUAUAACAAUGGUUAACAGGGGACUUUUUAAAACUAUUGAAGUUAAAAUGAUUUGUAAAUAACUCUUUCGUGAAUUAUUUUGUCAAUUUUUGAUUACUUAAUGUAAACAGCUAACAUCGGCAACUUAUUGUAUGAGUUCGGAAACUAAAGCUUUAAUGAUACUUAUGAUCUGUUGAAAUGUUGAUAUCAUUAGAUAGUAACACUGUAAGAGAUUUGAUCUCAAAUGCUUAGAUCAUCAAUUUCCGAUACAAAAUCAAAAUUCAGUUCAGGUCCAUUUUUUCUGGCAAACAC